rnacentral:lncRNA from 1 species
UUCAGUGUCCUCAAAUGUUAGUUUGGAUCCUGGAUUAGUUUGUGAUGAAAAUUUUUAAUAUCAUGGAUAUUUUGAUGGGCGUGACAGAGGUGGUAUCAGAGCAUUGUUUGAGGAUUACUGAAAUAUUUGAUAUGUUGACGUGCAAAAUAUAUUGAGGUCUAGUGAACUAUAGUGAUUGGUGGAAAUUUUCUUUGAUGUAUUUUAGCAAUCAAGGAUGAUGAGGUAAUUUGGUCCUCCUAUUUCAAUUGUUUCUGAUUAAUUAAGUGGGAUGAAAGGUUUGAUCGAGGAUAUCAAAUCAGAGUAGCGAAAUGAAAGCAUGGUGGACCUAAUUUCAUUGGUAGUAGAAAAAUGGAUGAUGCAAACGGA